rnacentral:rRNA from 1 species
GACGAACGCUGGCGGCGUGCCUAAUACAUGCAAGUCGAACGAGAGCGACCGGUGCUUGCACUGGUCAAUCUAGUGGCGAACGGGUGAGUAACACGUGGGUAACCUGCCCAUCAGAGGGGGAUAACAUCCGGAAACGGAUGCUAAAACCGCAUAGGUCUUCGAACCGCAUGGUUUGAAGAGGAAAAGAGGCGCAAGCUUCUGCUGAUGGAUGGACCCGCGGUGCAUUAGCUAGUUGGUGAGGUAACGGCUCACCAAGGCCGUGAUGCAUAGCCGACCUGAGAGGGUGAUCGGCCACAUUGGGACUGAGACACGGCCCAAACUCCUACGGGAGGCAGCAGUAGGGAAUCUUCCGCAAUGGACGCAAGUCUGACGGAGCAACGCCGCGUGAGUGAAGAAGGUUUUCGGAUCGUAAAACUCUGUUGUUAGAGAAGAACAAGUGCUAGAGUAACUGUUAGCGCCUUGACGGUACCUAACCAGAAAGCCACGGCUAACUACGUG